UCUCAGCCGCCCAGGCAAUGCCACCUUGGGCCCCAAGAAACCUACGCUACGACGAGAUGAUCCGUCCAGGCUGGCCGGCGGGUCUGCAAAGCCCAGCAGGCAGCAUCCAUGAACCGCCCCAGUCUUCUCGCGGGGAGACCCCUGGGGACGAUACUCCAGACUGUCACCCCAUCCAGCCCUGAGGCCAGCCUCCCCUCGGCCCGCCCUACAGGGCCCUGCGACCCGGAGGCCUCCCGAGUCCCCCAGCACUGCCCCCCUCCCGCUCUAGCUGGGGCACCGAUGGGGACCCUCGGGUGCUCUCGGCCUGACUCGUUUCUUUCUCCCCGACUUCCGAAACAGGUUACCUUGUCCACGCUCUCCAGACCACGCUUUGGACUUUCGCACUUUUAUUUAAGAGUCCAUCCGGAGAAGGAGGGGGGGAAAAAUCCAGAGGAGAUCCGAGUCAAUUGGAAAGAAAAAAUUUCAAAAGGGUGUCCACAGCGGCGAAAAAGCCCAGACUCUGCCGACCUUCAAACGACAACAAGGCUUUCAGGAGGGCGCAGGGAGACGGCUUCCCACCCAGAUCCGACCAGAAACCGGGCACCCUCGGCCACAUUCCCCCUCUUGCAGGCCUUGAGAACUCCACUCUACCACCACCGGAGGCCCCCUUGCUGGCACUGGGCAAACACUCAGGCCCUAAUGGCCACCGCAGGCCAGCCAGUGGCUCCCCUUUCUACACCCAGUCCUCCCGACACUUGAGAAGCUAGGCCAGGCAACUCUUCCCAGCUCCUAUCCCAGCAGCUUAUAACAGACUGCAUUCACUGCUCUGGUCAGUAAGUCACCCCAGCAUCCCUCGUACCCCCUCAACUCCUUUUAGCAGGAGCUGCCUCUCCUCUUGGGAGAACUCAAUGGGGGACGAGAUUAAAAUGAAAACUUGCCCUCCUGUCUGAGCUGUGGAACUCAACAGCACUUUCUUUUUCUGCCUGUAAAACCAGAGCUUCUGGCAAUUUUGUAAUUUUGAAGGUGGCGGGGAGGGGGAAGAGGCUGGCAUUGGCAUAGCUGUCAUCCUUUAGUGAGUCACUGACUGGCACUGAUGUACCUAGCUUAUGGUAUUUACCAGCCCCUCCAUGAGGAGCUCCUGUCGGUUCACAAGCUAGUCUUCCCACAAAGAAGGGCCCCUGCCCCAACUCUGAACAGCCGUCAGAGAGAAUCUGAGCCUCCUCGCAACCGGUGUUGGCAUGGUGGUGGGCAAAGCUGCCCCCUUAUGUAACUCUGGGUUUGAAGUCCCACUCCAUGGCUGCUGCUGCUUUUUUAAAUCCUGAAGGGGGAAAGAAGCCCUAACCAAACACAACAGUAAACAAGUCUGCCCUGUUUAA